AUACGGAGGAUGCAAGCGUUACUCGGAAUCACUGGGCGUAAAGCGCGCGCAGGCGGCUUGAUAAGUUGGAUGUGAAAGCCUACGGCUCAACCGUAGAACUGCAUCCAAAACUGUCAGGCUAGAGUGUGGGAGAGGAAGAUGGAAUUAGUUGUGUAGGGGUAAAAUCCGUAGAGAUAACUAGGAAUACCAAAAGCGAAGGCAAUCUUCUGGAACACUACUGACGCUGAGGCGCGAAGGCGUGGGGAGCAAACAGGAUUAGAUACCCCAGUAGUCC
rnacentral:rRNA from 1 species